UACAGAGGUCCCGAGCGUUGUUCGGAUUUACUGGGCGUAAAGGGUGCGUAGGCGGUGGGGGAAGUUUGAGGUGAAAGCUCCGGGCUCAACCCGGAAAAUGCCUUGAAAACUAUCCGGCUAGAGGGUUGGAGGGGAGACUGGAAUUCUCGGUGUAGCAGUGAAAUGCGUAGAUCUCGAGAGGAACACCAGUGGCGAAGGCGGGUCUCUGGACAACACCUGACGCUGAGGCACGAAAGCCAGGGGAGCAAACGGG
rnacentral:rRNA from 1 species